ACAUCUUUUACCUCACAUUUGUUCUUUCUUCUUUUCUGCAGAUAGUUAAUCAUCAUCCAAAUGAGGUAAUGUCAUAUGGUGGCAAAAAACCCAAGACCGAUAUUCAACGCUAUAUCAAGGUAGCAGACCAUUGAUGGAAAAGCUCCGCAAAUGAACAAUCUCAUAUGGAGCUGUGGCAGCCCAUAACAACCAGCCACCAUCAUGCCAAGUCAUGCUUGAUAAUCUAACGAAACCAAGCAGCUCACCGCAUAGCUUAAGGCGGAGCUUGGUGUACCGCUGCUAUGCUGCAUGUCAUGUAAGUCAACGUCAAACCAUGGCGAUGGACUGAAUGUGUACCGGUGCUGCUUGCCUGCUGCUUCGUGCCAUGUACUAUGGCGAUCAAGCGGAUGUACUGCUGCUGCUCCUGCGUCCGAUGCAUCUGUAGUGGAUGUAUUGAUCCCAAUUAGGCGGACACAAUACAACAUUGAUCAGCUCUUGACUGAAAACUGCACCUCAAGCUGGUCAGCUAUUGAACGGCUAGCUACAAAUCAAAAGAUAUCAAGAUGGCAAACUAUACAUUGAACGGAUCAAUCU